AAAAUACAAGAAUCGUACUACAUUUUUCCCAAAUGGAACAUUGAAGCUCAAAAAAGUAACAAAAAAUGACUCUGGAGAGUACAAGAUGGAAACACACAAUUCUACUGACGGUGCGUUAUUGUACAGAGUUAACAUCCAUCUACAUAUACUAGCUCCUGUGUCAGAACCAGCUGUUACGCAGAUGUGUUUGUCACCAAACCAGAUGACAGUCAGCUGCUCCUCUGAAGGAGACGAAGUAGAAUUCAUUUUGUCUUUGGAUGAUAAGUUGUUGAUACAGUCUACAGCUGACGGUAUAGAAAACAACAACAUUUCAAAUGUUACCAUCAACUUAGCUGGUCAGCUGAUGGGAAACCUGACAUGUGUUGCUCAAAACGAUGUCAGCAGAAAACAAACUAUCACCCACCUUACAAGCUGUACAGCUCCUGUGUCAAAACCAGUUGUUUUGCAGAUGUGUUUGUCACCAGAACAAAGGACAGUCAGUUGCUCCUCUGAAGGAGAUGAAGUAGAGUUCACCUUGUUUUUGGAUGAUAACUUGUUGAUAAAAACCCAACCCAGCACUGCAGAAAACCACAACAUUUCAAAUGUUACCAUCAGUUUACAUGGUCAGCUGAUGGGAAAGCUAAUGUGUAUCGUCCAAAACAACAUCAGCAGAGAACAAACCAUCAUCCACCUUAUAAGCUGCACAGGUACAACUUCUGUGGUGACUAUGGUUGUACUAACAAGUGUUGCACCUCUACUUCUCAGUCUCUCAAUUCUCACUUUACUUUUGACUGUUAAUAAAGGUGUUGCUGAAGAUAACAUUUUUUACUCCAAACUUGCAUACGAAGAAAACAUCAAUCAACACACAAAGGCCACAGCCAGAUGAGGGAGUCAGUCUCAGGGCUUUCUUGUUUUGAGGAAACAGUGCGAACCACCACACGACCAUGCUGCCUCUACUCAUACAUUAUUACUUAUUUACAAGUAGUUAAUGUGCACAUUUAUAAUUUUUAUUCUUGUUAAUAAGCUCAUGUUUUACAUUUUUGCUUAACCCUUGGAGAUUAAAACAAAGCUCUGGUCAGUAGUGUUGGUGCUUUGCUUACAUUGUGUUUUGUUUAGAAAAUGUGAGCUGUGCCUCAAGCAUCAUAGCUACUCUUCACUGUGUGACCUUAGAAACCACAAACUAUAUCCUGUUUUCACUGAGCUGCUAAACCACCACUGCUGUAGCUGCACAGAGGUCAGUGUGCAACUACAGAAUCGGUAUCAUGCAUAACAAUGGCUCGUUUGUUCAUUAUUACAAAUCAUAGUAAAUGAUCCAUAAUAAUAAAUGCUCACUCAUUCUUAUGAAGGAAGAAGAUUGUUGGCCAACAUUUAGAUUUUUCAGUAAUAUUUGUCAUCAUGUGUCACUUUUGAAGUAUAAUAAAGAUUCUGUUCCCCUCA